GACGAACGCUGGCGGCGUGCUUAACACAUGCAAGUCGAACGGAAAGGCCUGCUUUCCCUUGUGGAUUGCGGGUACUCGAGUGGCGAACGGGUGAGUAACACGUGAGUGAUCUGCCCCCAACUUGGGUAUAAGCCUGGGAAACUGGGUCUAAUUCCCGAUAGGACUGCAGGGUGGUGCCUGUGGUGGAAAACGAUUUUCUAGUGGUUGGGGAUGAGCUCGCGGCCUAUCAGCUUGUUGGUGGGGUAAUGGCCUACCAAGGCGGCGACGGGUAGCCGGCCUGAGAGGGUGGACGGCCACAUUGGGACUGAGGUACGGCCCAGACUCCUACGGGAGGCAGCAGUGGGGAAUAUUGCACAUUGGGCGGAAGCCUGAUGCAGCGACGCCGCGUGGGGGAUGACGGCCUUCGGGUUGUAAACUCCUUUCGACCGCGAGGAAGCCACCUGGUUGGAAGGGUGGUGACGGUAGUGGUAGAAGAAGCACCGGCUAACUACGUG
rnacentral:rRNA from 1 species